rnacentral:rRNA from 1 species
GACGAACGCUGGCGGCGUGCCUAAUACAUGCAAGUCGAGCGGUACCAAAGGGAGCUUGCUCCUGGAGGUUAGCGGCGAACGGGUGAGUAACACGUGGGCAACCUGCCUGUAAGACUGGGAUAACAUCGAGAAAUCGGUGCUAAUACCGGAUAAUAAAAAGAACUGCAUGGUUCUUUUUUGAAAGAUGGUUUCGGCUAUCACUUACAGAUGGACCCGCGGCGCAUUAGCUAGUUGGUGAGGUAACGGCUCACCAAGGCGACGAUGCGUAGCCGACCUGAGAGGGUGAUCGGCCACACUGGGACUGAGACACGGCCCAGACUCCUACGGGAGGCAGCAGUAGGGAAUCUUCCGCAAUGGACGAAAGUCUGACGGAGCAACGCCGCGUGAGUGAUGAAGGUUUUCGGAUCGUAAAACUACUGUUGUUAGGGAAGAACAAGUGCCGUUCGAAAGGGCGGCACCUUGACGGUACCUAACGAGAAAGCCACGGCUAACUACGUGCCAGCAGCCGCGGU